CCUACGGGGGACUGCAGUGGGGGAUAUUGCACAAUGGGGGGAACCCUGAUGCAGCGACGCCGCGUGGGUGAAGGAGCGUUUCGGCGCGUAAAGCCCUAUCGGCAGGGAAGAAGGAGGCCGGUACCUGACUAAGAAGCCCCGGCUAACUACGUGCCAGCAGCCGCGGUAAUACGUAGGGGGCAAGCGUUAUCCGGAUUUACUGGGUGUAAAGGGAGCGUAGGCGGGACUGCAAGUUGGGUGUCAAAUCUACCGGCUCAACCGGUAGCCGCACUCAAAACUGCAGUUCUUGAGUGAAGUAGAGGCAGGCGGAAUUCCUAGUGUAGCGGUGAAAUGCGUAGAUAUUAGGAGGAACACCAGUGGCGAAGGCGGCCUGCUGGGCUUUGACUGACGCUGAGGCUCGAAAGUGUGGGGAGCAAACAGGAUUAGAUACCCUUGUAGUC
rnacentral:rRNA from 1 species